GGAGGGUUCGCAUAGUGGCCUAGUGCACACGCUUGGAAAGCGUGCAUACCGCAAGGUAUCGUGGGUUCAAAUCCCACACCCUCCG
rnacentral:tRNA from 1 species